GACGAACGCUGGCGGCGUGCUUAACACAUGCAAGUCGAAGGGAAAGGCUCCAGCUUGCUGGAGUACUCGAGUGGCGAACGGGUGAGUAACACGUGGGUAAUCUGCCCUGCACUCUGGGAUAAGCCUGGGAAACUGGGUCUAAUACUGGAUAUGACCUUUCUCCUUAUGGGGUUUGGUGGAAAGUCUUUCGGUGUAGGAUGAGCCCGCGGCCUAUCAGCUUGUUGGUGGGGUGAUGGCCUACCAAGGCGACGACGGGUAGCCGGCCUGAGAGGGGGAUCGGCCACAUUGGGACUGAUAUACGGCCCAGACGCCUGAGGGGGGCAGCAGUGGGGCAUAUUGCACAAAGGGCGGAAGCCUGGUGCAGCGACGCCGCGUGAGGGAUGACGGCCUUCGGGUUGUAAACCUCUUUCAGCAGGGACGGAGCGUAAGUGACGGUACCUGCAGAAGAAGCACCGGCUAACUACGUGCCAGCCGCCGCAGUAA
rnacentral:rRNA from 1 species